AAAGAGGUAUCCAGAGAGAGUGAUUUUCUUUCCCCUGGGACCUGUGGGCAGUAACCCAGAGCCCUGUUCUUGGGGUAGGGCAGUAAUAGCAUCCCUGUGGGGAUGGAGGACUGAGCAGCAUCCACCAGGAUAAAAUCUGUGCCCUGCUCACCAUCCUUUGUUCGUGCCUUCUGCACUUCUGUUCUCAGGUUUCUGGACAUUCCAGGUCGUCGUUCCAUCUGGAGCACUAUUUUCAAGUUGGUAUAUUUUCCUGCAUCUCUGAGCAUCACCACGGGCUGGCUACCAGACCUUCAGCGUGGAGGCCGUUGUGGGACAUUUAACAUCCAAACCCUAAGAGUAACAUCGCUGUUAAAGUAUUUACUGUAGAGGAAAAGAAAAGCAGAAAAAGAAAAACUAGGCGACUAAGUAACAUGCAAUGUAUCCAUGACAAAAAAUACGGUGUUACCACAUUCUAAUUAAAAUUGCUGAAUCACAUGGAAUUAAUAAUACAGUCAGUUGGAUUUUUUGCUAAAUAGUGCAAACCUUUCCCAUCUUCAUAGGAUGUGGCUUUUGGUGGUGCUAACCCAGAAAAUUAUUUAAGAUAAAUCUAGAAGGC
rnacentral:lncRNA from 1 species